CGCAGGUGGCGAAGCGAGCCACCCGGAAGCGGGACCUUCGGGAAGUGGGGCUGGAGCGGCUUCAGGGAAGUAAGAGGACCUUGCAGACCGUGAGGCCGCGAACCAGGAAAGGCUUCUCCAGGCCCUAGGCUUGAGGAAGUGGGAGUAACCAGGCUCCAUGGGCGGAGGAGAGGACCCCCGGGGUCCCACAAAUGAAGCCAGUAGGCCGGGCUUCCGUCCAAGGCCACCUGCCUGGAGAUGCCAGGCCAGGGCCCGACUGCGUAGGCGAUGAGAAACCGCACAGGGCAAGGCUUUGAUUCUGGGUUCUAGCUCCGGUCCAGCUUUAUCUCACUGUGCAGCUUCAUGCCAACCCCUUACCUUGUCGGGGCCCCAAUACGCGCCAGAUAGGGUCAAAUGGAAUGACUGGCCUGACAAGCUGAGAUUCUUGGGUAGCUCCUUUCAAAAUACCUGAGACACCACCCGCGCCCUAUUAGAACCCUCGUCUUCAGACGUGGCAAAAGUUAUGUAUGUGUUUGUUCUUUUGUGGAAAAGAAUAGUUCCGUCUGGUCCCGGUGGCUCACGCCUGUAAUCCCAGCACUCUGGGAGGCCGAGGCGGGCGGAUCACCUGAGGUCAGGAGUUUGAGACCAGCCUGGCCAACAUGGUGAAACCCUGUCUCUACUAAAAAUACAAAAAUCAGUUGCGCGUGGUGGUGGGCGCCUGUAAUCCUAGCUACUCUGGAGGCUGAGGCAGGAGAAUUGCUUGAACACGGGAGACGGGAGGUUGCAGUGAGCCGAGAUCGCGCCUGGGCGACAGAGUGAGACUCCAUCUCAAAAAAAAAAGGAAAAAAAAAUAGUUCCUUUCACCACAUUUGAAUCCGUGAAAUAACGGAGCUUACAUUCAAGUAUAAGAUGUUUAGAUUUCCUCCCUAUCCCCUUCCUCCAGGUAUGUGACUUUAAGGUGAGUGGAAGUUGCUACCUGGGGUAAAAGUGUACUGGGGGCA
rnacentral:lncRNA from 1 species